GUCCGCUUCGGCAGCACAUGUACUAAAACUAGAAAGAUAGAGAAGACUAACAUGGCCCCUGCACAAGGAUGACAACAAAUUCGUGAGGUGUUCCAUAUUUUA